AUUGAACGCUGGCGGCAGGCCUAACACAUGCAAGUCGAGCGGAUGAAGGGAGCUUGCUCCUGGAUUCAGCGGCGGACGGGUGAGUAAUGCCUAGGAAUCUGCCUGGUAGUGGGGGAUAACGUCCGGAAACGGGCGCUAAUACCGCAUACGUCCUGAGGGAGAAAGUGGGGGAUCUUCGGACCUCACGCUAUCAGAUGAGCCUAGGUCGGAUUAGCUAGUUGGUGGGGUAAAGGCCUACCAAGGCGACGAUCCGUAACUGGUCUGAGAGGAUGAUCAGUCACACGAGAAAGGGAACACGGUCCAGACUCCUGAGGGAGACAGCAGGGGGGAAUAUGGGAAAAAGGGAGAAAGCGUGUCCAAGCCAGGCCGGGUGGGUGAAGAAGGUCUUCGGUUUGUAAAGCACUUUAAGUUGGGAGAAAGGGAAGUAAUUUAAUACCUUUCUUUUUGGGGGUAACCAACAGAAUGAGCACCGCAUGACUGCUU
rnacentral:rRNA from 1 species